UACGGAGGGUGCAAGCGUUAUCCGGAUUCACUGGGUUUAAAGGGUGCGUAGGUGGGCAGUUAAGUCAGUGGUGAAAUCUCCGGGCUCAACCCGGAAACUGCCAUUGACUACUAUCUGUCUUGAAUAUCGUGGAGGUAAGCGGAAUAUGUCAUGUAGCGGUGAAAUGCUUAGAUAUGACAUAGAACACCAAUUGCGAAGGCAGCUUACUACCCGAAUAUUGACACUGAGGCACGAAAGCGUGGGGAUCAAACAGG
rnacentral:rRNA from 1 species